rnacentral:lncRNA from 1 species
ACUUGGUCUUUCUACUCCAGCCUUUGCCUCCAAUUUAGUUCACUCCCCUACAGUUUGCUCUUGCACGGCUAGGCUGCCGUCGCCACAACAGCCUUCCUACUUACUUCUGACGCUAACCCCCGCUGGGGAUCCUUUUUUCCAGUGACACCUGGUGAUAUUUCUCAGUUACAAAGUAUCCAUUCAGCAAGAGUUUAUUGAUGAUGCUAUUACAGGACAGCCACUGUGAAGGCACUGGCGAUAUGAGGCCGCUUGUGACCUCCCAGAGGAGACAGGUGUGUGACCAAUGGCGGAAUUCUGGGGGUGGGGGGAGCGAGUGACUGCCAUCAGAGAGAAAUGAACAGGCACAGAGACGGGAGGUUGGAAGAGGUCAUUUAUUCCCUCCCUCCCUCUCUUUCCCUUUUCCUUCCUUCUACUCUGGCUUUGUCUGUCUCAUUCAUUCAGAAAAAACUAUCUGGUGACAGGUCAGAUAAACAAGAUAUGUUAUGCACCGAGUGGGGGUGGUAUAUGGAAAUGAGCAUGGUAUGAAAUCACCCCUUAAAGGGCUGGCUUCUUAGUGUGCACGUGUGCACAUACAUGUGUAUGCACAAGUUCACCCAUGUCCACACUGGGUGCAAGAUGCUAAGUUCCAGAAACCUUGUUAUCCUCAAACCUCCAGGACGUAACAUGGGGCUGGGACAGAGUAAGUUCUUGGGGGGGCAUUUAUAGAAUGAAUGAAUGAAUAUAUGAUUGACCUAGUAUGAAAAGUAGAUGAGUGUUUUCAGAAGAAUCAACCUUUGUCAGCAGUCGAGUUUGUUUUCUUUUUCUUUCUUUCUUUUUUUUUUUUUUUUGUCUUUUUAGAGCUACACCCACAGCAUAUGGAGGUUCCCAGGCUAGGGGUCGAAUCAGAGCAACACUCGAUCCUUAACCCACUGAGCAAGGCCAGGGAUCGAACCUGCAUCCUCAUGGACGCUAGUUAGAUUUGUUUCCACUGAGCCACAACAGGAACUCCAGCAGGAAAGGUUUGAGGUGUGGAUUCUGUCCAGCUAAGAAGGCUCCCUCUUCCCUCCCUAAAGUUCACAUUCACCAUCAUGCCCAUUCAAGGUCCCCAGCUGUAUAUACAGAGGCCCAGCUGCUCUCCAGAAGAGAGAGAAGCUGGGUUGAUGAUGCCAUGCUGACUUGAUGUUCUUUCUCAGGUGAGCAUGAUGAAAGUGAAGGUGGCAGCAGUGGUGAUGGUGACGUGAUAGCUGCUCCUUACUGCACAGACACUAUGUGCCAGCCACUGCCUGAGACAACUGACUGGCAACCCAGCAAAAAAGAAAUUCUUAGCACCUCAUCAGAAAUGGGGACACUGAAGUUCAGACACACCCAUAAAACUUUCUGGAGUUUGUACUCAACUAAAGCAUCAUCCCUUUCUCUGGCCCCUCUGUAUUUGGCCAGCCUCAGCUCACUUCCCCGUGGUUUCCAGCCUCUGAACCCAACAUGCUCUGAGAAGCACAAAAUAAUGGCAGAGGAUAAAGGAUUUCAUAAGCAAUGACGGAAAUACGGGUAGAGUCAGAAUACAGGAAGUAUCAUGGCUGAGAUGCAUGCCGGACGAUGCAAGCUAAUGUAUCGUUCAGAUUGGAAGAGAAGUCAGACUAGAGUUCAGUUUCUGGAUCCUGAGAAAUGGAUCGGCACACCUCUUUCCAAAUAUUGCUAUUGCCUGGAAAACAGUGGAGCAAGAAUUACAGCAAGUACUAUUGGCGAGAAAAGUAACAGCAAAAAAUCACAACUGUGACUCCUUCACAUGUAUUAGGAUUUCAUUCAGGUUUAAUUCGGUUGGCUGUGAUUUUUGGUCUGUUUGCUUCUCCAUUUUUAUUCUAACUUUUGUGUCUGCUGCACAAAACCUUAGGGUAACUUCUAUCCUUCUCUGGAUUUCUUGAAUCUUUUGUGACUUUGUCUUUGACAAGUGGUGUCUUAAAAAUUGUUAUGUUUUACACUUGUGUAUAUUUUUUCCAUUGGCAACUUAAUGUCCUAUAACCUGGUAAUUUCACCCAAGAUAUAUUCCCAUGGAAACAGAUACCCUCCCAGACAUGCUCAUCAAAAGCCACGUACGAGAAGAUGUGCAGCAGCACUGCAGCUGGCAGAGCCCCACAAAGCCCAACAAUCAUGUGAUGCUAUAGUCACAAAACAACACUAUAUGGCAAGGCAAAGAAUAUAUCCUGUAACCAAAUGCGACUACAUGGAUUAGUUUCCAAAGCACCACAUUAAGGGAAAGAAGUCAAUAGAAAAAAAAAGGACUUAGCUUUUGAUUCCAUUAUUGGAAAAUUCAAACCAGGCAAAACCAAGCUGUUUUGUUUCUUAACCUGGAGCGUGCAGGGUAUGUGCACCCUAUCAAACUUAGUGGAUUGUUACUUAUGAUUUGAGAACGUCCAUGUAUGUUACACCACAGUAAUGAUUAUAAUGAAAAAAAAAUCACAUUAUCAAGAAGAAAGUGAUAAGCAGAACAAAGGAAUACAUAUGUAUCCAUAAUCUGACCACCAGGGAUGAUCACUGUACUGGUUCAUAUCCUCCAAGUCUUUUCACAUUUAUUUUUAAUGCAUUUAUCCACUAAUUACAUCAUUUCAGUUGCUACAUAUAGUAAAUCAAAUGAGUAUAUACUAACUAUCUAUCUCUUUGCUCAUUUUCAGCAUUUAUAUUACUGUUAUUAGUAUUAUAAAUACUGCCACAAUGAACAGCUUUUACCUACGAGGGAUUUACAUGGAAUUACUGGAUCAACUGGUAUACAUUUUUAGAUACUAUUCAUAAACAGUCAACAACUGUUUUUGUUUGUUUGUUUGUUUUUUGUCUUGUUGUUGUUGCUAUUUCUUGGGCCGCUCCCGCGGCAUGUGGAGGUUCCCAGGCUGGGGGUUGAAUCGGAGCUGUAGCCACCGGCCUACGCCAGAGCCACAGCAACGCGGGAUCCGAGCCGCGUCUGCAACCUACACCACAGCUCACGGCAACGCCGGAUCGUUAACCCACUGAGCAAGGGCAGGGACUGAACCCACAACCUCAUGGUUCCUAGUCGGACUCGUCAACCACUGCGCCACGACGGGAACUCCAAUAACUGUUUUAAUCAGGAUUCCAGUAGGAAUAAACUGAGACCCUCUCUCAGGAUGAAUGCCCUGGCUCUGUCUAAUAAAAUACACUUUUCUCCUUUUGAAGGAGGCAUAAACUUUUCAGGUGAGGAUUUUAAGGUAAUUUGAGUAACAUCUCUGAAUCACAGAUGCCAACAUGAGAAGUUUCUCUUCUCUCACUGAAACUCAACAGCCUUCAUUGUACCUGCCCCUCCAAGUGAUUGCUUGUGUCUGGCUUGAGAGUAUCCUGAUCCAUUAGUAAUGCCUGCCAUGAUGCAGCAACUGAACGAAGAGCAUGUUGGCAGGUGUUUGCCAGCCCUCUUCUACAGUGUGUGACAGUUAGUUUGCUGAUGUCCAGUCCUGUGAUGGCAUUUAUGCACAAGUUGCCAAGGUGGAACUGCUUGAUAGAAGUUGGCCUAAGAACCGGGCAGGAGAUUGCAGCGUAGAAAUAGCAUCUUUCUUUGUCUGGUGCAAAUGCAUGUGCACACACAAACACACACAUCCCUAAUAAGAACAGCUUUAAACUAAAAGCACUUUAUACAGAUGGCCAACAAACACAUGAAAAAGUGCUCAACAUCGCUGAUUAUAAGAGAAAUGCAAAUCAAAACUACCAUGAGAUACCACCUCACACCAGUCAGAAUGGCCAUCAUUAAUAAAUCCACAAAUAACAAGUGCUGGAGGGGCUGUGGAGAAAAGGGAACCCUCCUGCACUGUUGGUGGGAAUGUCAACUGGUACAGCCACUAUGGAGAACAGUUUGGAGAUACCUUAGAAAUCUAUACAUAGAACUUCCAUAUGACCCUGCAAUCCCACUCUUGGGCAUCUAUCCGGACAAAGCUCUACUUAAAAGAGACACAUGCACCCGCAUGUUCAUUGCAGCACUAUUCACAAUAGCCAGGACAUGGAAACAAUCCAAAUGUCCAUCGACAGAGGAUUGGAUUCGGAAGAUGUGUAUAUAUACACGAUGGAAUACUACUCAGCCAUAAAAAAGGAUGACAUCAUGCCAUUUGCAGCAACAUGGAUGGAACUAGAGAAUCUCAUACUGAGUGAAAUGAGCCAGAAAGACAAAGACAAAUACCAUAUGACAUCACUUAUAACUGGAAUCUAAUAUCCAGCACAAAUGAACAUCUCCUCAGAAAAGAAAAUCAAUCAUGGACUUGGAGAAGAGACUUGUGGUUGCCUGAUGGGAGGGGGAGGGAGUGGGAGGGAUCGGGAGCUUGGGCUUAUCAGUCACAACGUAGAAUAGAUUUACAAGGAGAUCCCGCUGAAUAGCAUUGAGAACUAUGUCUAGAUACUCAUGUUGCAACAGAAGAAAUGGUGGGGGAAAAACUGUAAUUGUAAUGUAUACAUGUAAGGAUAACCUGACCCCCUUGCUGUACAGUGGGAAAAUAAAAUUUAAUAAAAAAAAAUAAAAUAAAAUAAAAACAGGAAAAAAAAAAAGCACUUUAACUCAAGUCAGGUACCCCUACCUGAAAGUAUGUUAUAUUUUCCUUUACUUUCCAGCUAAAUUCUAUUGAGUUCUAGCAUCUCUACUGCAGACAAUCUAGCCUGGAUGCGAGGAAGAGAUCACUUUGAAGGAGGGAAACUUGCUCAUCCCACGAACUGAAAGUCUUGUUCUUGUCUUCCUGCUUCACUUUCAGAGAGCAGGAGGGAGAUGCAAGGAGGGACAGGGCAUCUUGGGUCUGAAUGUCAUUAUGGCUGUAACGACAGCUAAAGACCAACUGCUCCCUGCUGAGGAGCUCUGCAUGGUCUGGAGCUGGCCUCUGUCCUAUCAGCUGGGAACUGCCUCACCGGGCUCCAGGGAAUGGGCCUGAGAUCAGAGCAGAAUUGGAGUCAAUGAUGGAGAACCCCCCCCCAAAAAAAACCCAAUGCAAACAAAAAAACCACAGCACUGAUGUCCUUACUUUGCUCCCAGAUCUGGAAAACAUACACACUCUUUCAGGCAGUAAAGUGGUCUGCAAUUAAACUCCUAAACACACAAGCUAGUUUCUAGGCAUACAUUCAUUUGGAUGAAGCGAACACUUGCUUUUCUUUCUCCUUAAUCUGUGUGUUGCAUCAUGGCGCAUGCCUCUCACAGAUUUGUUCCAUUAGCUGAAUGCAACUUGGGCUUUUCCAGUAGAAUUCUAUUGGAAACUCUACUUAUGGUAAUUAUAAUAUCUAUUCAUGGACUGAGAAACCUCUGCUUUUUUUGUCUGCAGGACCAAAUAAUACCAUCUACUUCAAGAGUAGUUGUAAGCAUUAAGGAGGCUAAGAGUAAUAAUAAUAAUAUUAACAAUACCAGUGGCUUCUACAAAUGUUUCUUAAAUAACAAGAAUUGUGUGCUGUUAUUUAAUUCUUCCAAUAGCAACGUCAGAGAGGUACGAUGUAUAUUUUAUAGAGGAAGAAGUGGAAAAUCAGAAGGAUUGAGACAGGCUGUCAUGGUGACCUGGUUAAUUAGGUCACGUCUCCUCCUUGCAUUAACUUCUAUGAUAUGCUCUUCCCAUGCCCACAUUUUAUGGCUUGAACAGUGUGCCUGAGACAGAAUAAACAAUCAAUGGUCUCGGGUACGGAUCAGUAGCACUAUUGCUACCAAUCAGUAACUCAGCUUACUCCCCAUAAAUAGCCCCCAGCCCACUGUACAGAUGUGCAGUCUGUACAUGGAAGCUGUCCUGGGAAACUGUGACGGGAGAGAUUGAAGCCAAGCCUCAAAGCAAGGAUACGGCAGAGCCACACUUAGGUUUCAAUCCCAAACCAGGCACCUACCAGCCACUGGCCCUGCAUGGCUUGUAUUGCUUUGAUUCUUUAACCAUCUGUGAGAUGACUUCCUUAUGUCAUAACUCAGGUUGCCUGUCCAGCCUGGGGUGGCGGGGGAAGCCUUCAGAGCAGCACUCAGUCCGGUCUUUCCUUUCAGCUGAAAUGUGGUGGGAAGAAUCCAUGAACAGAGCCCGUUCCCCAAAGCCUCUGUCCCUGGGACCAGCUGCCCCUUGGAAGUCCUGUGGCCUUGAGGGCUGGCAGGGCCCCCCUGCUCUAGCCUCUGCAGACAGUUUGACAGAGGGCUCGUGUGCACAGGCAAACCUCUAUCUUCAGUCACCCGUGGCUGCAGCCAGAGAUCAGU